UACGUAGGGGGCGAGCGUUGUCCGGAAUCAUUGGGCGUAAAGCGCGUGUAGGCGGCCCGGUAAGUCCGCUGUGAAAGUCCAGGGCUCAACCCUGGGAUGCCGGUGGAUACUGUCGGGCUAGAGUCCGGAAGAGGCGAGUGGAACUCCUGGUGUAGCGGUGGAAUGCGCAGAUAUCAGGAAGAACACCAACGGCGAAGGCAGCUCGCUGGGACGGUACUGACGCUGAGACGCGAAAGCGUGGGUAGCAAACAGG
rnacentral:rRNA from 1 species